UGGGAACAUUGAUAUUUCAAAGAGAAUCU
rnacentral:piRNA from 1 species